rnacentral:rRNA from 1 species
UACGAAGGGGGCUAGCGUUGCUCGGAAUCACUGGGCGUAAAGCGCACGUAGGCGGAUCUUUAAGUCAGGGGUGAAAUCCUGGAGCUCAACUCCAGAACUGCCUUUGAUACUGAGGAUCUUGAGUCCGGGAGAGGUGAGUGGAACUCCGAGUGUAGAGGUGAAAUUCGUAGAUAUUCGGAAGAACACCAGUGGCGAAGGCGGUUCUCUGGGCAUGUCCUGACGCUGAGGAGCGAAAGUGUGGGGAGCGGAACAGG